GACGAACGCUGGCGGCGUGCCUAAUACAUGCAAGUCGAGCGGAAGUUGAAGAGCUUGCUCUUCAACUUUAGCGGCGGACGGGUGAGUAACACGUGGGCAACCUGCCCUGCAGAUCGGGAUAACUUCGGGAAACCGGUGCUAAUACCGAAUAGUUUUGGGUCCCUCCUGGGACCUAACGGAACGACGGUUUCGGCUGUCACUGCAGGAUGGGCCCGCGGCGCAUUAGCUAGUUGGUGGGGUAACGGCCCACCAAGGGCACGAUGCGUAGCCGACCUGGGAGGAUGAUCGGCCACACUGGGACUGAGACACGGCCCAGACUCCUACGGGGGGCAGCAGUAGGGAAUCUUCCGCAAUGGACGCAAGUCUGACGGAGCAACGCCGCGUGAGUGAUGAAGGUUUUCGGAUCGUAAAACUCUGUUGCGAGGGAAGAAACCGUGCCAAUUAACUACUGGCACCUUGACGGUACCUCGCCAGAAAGCCACGGCUAACUACGUGCCAGCCGCCGCGGUAA
rnacentral:rRNA from 1 species